rnacentral:rRNA from 1 species
AACGAACGCUGGCGGCAGGCCUAACACAUGCAAGUCGAACGCCGUAGCAAUACGGAGUGGCAGACGGGUGAGUAACGCGUGGGAACCUACCUUACGGUCGGGAAUAGCUCAGGGAAACUUGGGGUAAUACCGGAUACGCCCUUACGGGGAAAGAUUUAUCGCCGUUAGAUGGGCCCACGUAGGAUUAGCUAGUUGGUGAGGUAAUGGCUCACCAAGGCGACGAUCCUUAGCUGGUCUGAGAGGAUGAUAAGCCACACUGGGACUGAGACACGGCCCAGACUCCUACGGGAGGCAGCGGUGGGGAAUAUUGGACAAUGGGCGCAAGCCUGAUCCAGCCAUGCCGCGUGAGUGACGAAGGCCUUAGGGUUGUAAAGCUCUUUUGGCGGGGAAGAUAAUGACGGUACCCGCAGAAUAAGCUCCGGCUAACUUCGUGCCAGCCGCCGCAGUAA